ensembl:lncRNA
GAUGAUGGAGAACAGAGUGUUAAAGCGCUCGGAGGACUGUAAAGAUCCUCCUCAGCUCUUUACAUACUAUCAAGGUGACAUCAACACUGCAGUGGAUGAGCACUUUUCCGUGCCCUGAAUAAAGCAACCACACCAAAAGACCUCAGUACUAAAGCCAAGGACAGCAAUAGGACUCCCAAAGCUGAUGUACCAUCAUCAUCAUCAUGGGCUUCUUCUGGUCUAACAUGGCCUAAGUCCACACACACUUCCGGUUCUUCAAAGCUGACCCAGUUGACGUCCAUGGAACCUACACCUCCAUCCCAGGGAGUUAUUGUGAAUCCCUCAGUACUAUCAUCAUCAUCAUCCUCAUCCCUCUGGCCAUGCCCAUCCAGACAGGGCACGGCCUUCGAACUGCCUCAUAUAAUCUACCAACAGCCCAUGGCUGCUGAGAGCAGUGCCAACUCUUACCUGAACCUGCUACAAAUGGAUCGGCCAACAGGGGGCAUCAUGAUCUCGCCCUACUCAAAAUCAGAUACCAGACCAGAGUGGAAUUCUGGGACAGCCUUUAAGGAUGGAAGCAGGAUCAGCCUAGAUUCAGGUGUGCCUGUCUCAGAAAUAACUAAGGAUUUGUACUGGUAUUGAAGAAGUGAUUUCUGGCUCUGUGAUGAAAAUAUAUUUUCAGCAAAGGACUGCCUGUGUUUACAUUAUUAUAAGCUUAAGAAUUCUUUGCUUUUAGAACAUCUGGCAUAGUGAUUCAAACCAUUAUAUUCAUGGUAUCAAACAUUCCUCAGAGAUGAAUGGCGAUUAAUUGCUUAUUUUAGCCAUGAGCAUGUGAAGGAUCUUGUAGUAGAAUACCUGAUUGAAAAUAAUUUACUUCUCGUAGCUAUUUAAUGGGUGAAUGAGGAAGUAAAGUCUAUUUAUAUGAUUUGUAAUACAAUUAUAGUUUUACCAAACUUUCUUUGUGUAUAUUAUUCUGUAUUUUGAAAGUUAAUAUUAUUACUAUAGCAAUUCAAAAACUAUAGUCAUUUGUCAGGAAAAUAUAUUCUAUAUAGUUAUUUUUAGUUAAACUUUCUCUCUUAAAAGUUGCCCAUACCUUGGGGAUGAAAAAAAAAAACUUCAAGCAGUGUCAACUCUCUAAGUCAGGUUACACAGAAGGCCAAGUAAAGCUAAUGCAAUGGCAAAAGUGAACUGACAUGAGCAAACCAAAAAUAAAUGUUUCUGAAAUCGUGCAAAUAUUAUUGGACUUCUUCUUUAAAAACUUGUUUGCAAAACUUGCUUUACACUUUCCCCCUCAAGCUGUGAUGUAUUUCCCUGUCACAAACCUUCACUUUUGAUGUACGAGUAUGACAGAACAGCUAAAGGCUUUGCACAAUUAUGAUGAAUUUCCUCAAUUAUUCUCAAGAAUAGUAUAGUCUAUUUUCAGUAUGAAUACACAGGUGACCUGUUUAAUAAAUCCUACAUGAAAAUGAUCCUUUUGUUCAUACUUUACACAUUUAGACAUUUGAUUUUCUUCAGGUCUGCAGUUAUAAACUUUCCCUUUUUCCCCGUAAGAGCGGGGCAUUUGUAAAAUGUAAAAAGACCAUUACAAAAAUAUAAAGAAAAAAAGUCUGCUCUCUGCAUCUACUGCUCAAAGCAUUGAUUUUUAUUUAAAG